UUUAUAAUCUCUAUGGUACUGUGAUCAUGGACACAAUCAUGGAUUUGUAUUUUUUAAAAAAGCAUUUUUUAUUUGGAUUUCAAACCAUACGGAUUUAGAAAAACCAAAUUACUAAUGGUAUUAAAGGAAAUGGAGAAAAAUUUUGGUUUAAUUGUACGAUAGUAAUGAAUAAGGGUUUAGUUCUGGUUAAAGUUUUGGGGAUACGUUGCUUGUAUGCUUAUCCAUCUUGCUCCUUAUGUCACAAGAAAGUUCGCAAAUUAAACGACCCAGACGGAAGGUAAGCAUUCGAAUAAUGAUAUUUUUAUUUAUAAAGAUUGCCAUGUGAUUGUGUCAAAUUAACAUUUAAUUAAUUCAGCGAAUGUGGUACUGGUUUGAAUAUUUUUAUUGGAGGUUGAGAAGUGGCGGAGAAUUUAAAUUUUAAUAAACAAGUAAGGUCGCUGUGAUUUUCCACAGUCAAGGGUAACACCGGUCAUUUUCUAGUCCAGUGAUUUUGUACUUGACUGCCCAGUCAAUACACACUUCCAGCGAGCAUUAUAGAGCCUCGCUCUCAUGAUUGUGAUGCUUGGCUUUAACUAAAUGUCACUUACCCAAAAACGAGGGUCUAUAUAUAUAGUAGAGGUGUGCAAAUACAAUUCGAAUUCAGAUUUCAGAACAAAAAUAUUCAUUUCGUAUUGGAUUGGAUUGAUAAAAUUGUUUCGUAGUUGGAUCGGAUCGGACUUUGAUAUUCGAAAUAAAAUAAGUUAAUUAUAUAUAAUAAUUAUUUGGUUAAAUAUUCCCACUUGAAUGAGAAAUUUAUUUUAUUAAAGGAUUCUUCUGAUCGGAAUUUUUUAUCAAAACUCGGAUUGGAUUCAGAUUAGACAAUUUCGGAUCGGAUUGGAUUUUAAACAUUAGCCAAUUGUCGGAUUAUAAAUGUCCAAUCUGAUCCGAUGCACAUCUGUAGUCUACAGACUAUAGGUCCAAGCUGGUGACAUCAACCUCUCAUCGUUUGUCAGGGUUGUAUUGUAGCUAAUCCCUAAUGGCUAGGGGGAUGCAGAUGAAAAAUUUCUCUGAGUGGAGUCUAUAAAAUUUCAGAAUGGCAUCCUGAGAAUCUGCACAAUGUGUGAAGGCAUUAGAGGUCAUGGUGUUAGCAACCAUAGUGAUAACAUUUGUUCAGAUGAAUAUUUUUUUAGCCAUUGGUCCAAGGUGACAUCAACCUCUCAUCGUUUGUCAGGGCCAUAUUGUAGCUAAUCCCUGAUGCUGUGAGUGAUGGCUGGGGGGAUGCAGAUGAAAAAUUUCUCUAGUGGACAUCUAUAAAAUUUCAGAGUGGCAUCCUGAGAAUCUGCACAAUGUGUGAAGGCAUUAGAGGUCAUGGUGUUAGCAACCAUAACAUUUGUUCAGAU